GUUUAAGUCCAGUUAACUAUUAACUUCUCAGUGUGAUAGGUUCCUUCUUUUGUGCUGCAUAAGCCCUGUUCUGACGUGUACUGGAGAACUAGCCUUAGAAAGCCUGCAGUUUGCAUAAUUAAAGAGUCGAUGGGAAAAAGAAGGCAUUAAGAUAACAAUAGACAUCAGGAAAAGAGUGGGGCUGAAGAUCUCUGCUGUUCUGUGUCAUGCUUAAAGACCCCAGCAGACAGCCGGCCGACCUAGCUCAGGUACGUAGCUGUACCACCCUGCUGGCCUUCGGGGUGGGGACAAGAGGGCAGGGAGGGGGUGAUGGCCCGGCAGAGCUGGGAGGGUGCCGUACCACUGCUCCGUGGAAGAUUCCGGAACAGCCUUGCUCUCACUGUCCUUGGAUCAAUUGAAUUACAGUCGCCACUUAAUUAACCUGAGGCUUAUCAGGAACCUUAUUUACCUGUUCCUGGAGAAUGACCUUGGGGUGAGCCACCCACACUUCUUAAGCCCCUCUGAGCCCACUCCUAAGCCAAAGAACCUAGACUAUGUGCCGACAGGGCAGCUCUGGUCUUGCCUAACAAUCGCUUUGUCUAUUAAUUGUAGCAAAACAACAAAUAACAAUGGGGCAUUUUGUUGGGACUUUUUAAGGGUGGAAUGUGAAGUUCUACUUCAAUGGGACUACUUGUUUUGAUCGCUGUGCCUUUUCCUAAAGUAAGCAGCCCUUUCGGGGUCUUUUCCUACCCCUGGCCCCUUCCUCAGCUUUCUCUCUUUCAGGUGGACUUCUGGUCAUUAAUGAGGUCUCAGGGUCUUUUGAGGCCAACAGGAAAUUCAUCCCAAAGCAGCCUCCUCAAAAACUCAGAUGUCAGUUUUCAGAUUAGAAAUAUUACAUGAUGAAUGAGAUUUUUUUUUUUAACUUGCGUUUUCAGUUUGCUGACGGCGAUGUUGAAAUUGUUGCCUAAUAGGGCAGGCUCCGUGCCGAGGCACAGCCCAGCAAACCGGGAGGCAGGGGACAGGGCUGGCGUUCACUUCCGUCCUGUCACCCACCCCGCCUGGCCUUUCUCCCGAGCCGUCCUCCACCCACUGCACCCCAUCCUGGGGUGCUGUUGCAGGGUCUCGGCUCCAGGGACCCUUAGGGUCCUCUCUCCUGCCCCAGCUACACGUGGCCUCCGGCUGGGCGGGCAGGAUAUCUCCACGGCCACUUCCAUUUGAACAGCAGACCGACUGGGAAAUUCGUGUUCCCAAAGAACGCUUACCUAAUAGCGGAAUGUCAGCCUUAGGAAGGCACCUGGUGAGGGAAGAUAGUUUUAUGCUACUUCCACCUCUUCUGAUAUUACUCUGGCCCCGAUAACACGCAUUAUAUUUCUAAAUUUAGAACGCAGUUCAGAGUAAUGGGCCAAGAGAUACAGCAAAUUAAUUCUGGGUCUGAUUUUACGACUGCCUCUGUGUGAACUCAGACAAACUGUGUAAAUUCUUUGGGCCUCAGUUUCCUCUCCUGUGAAGUAAGAGGGUAUGGAUAGACGAUAUUUGAUUACUGUACUCUAUCCCCAAUCCCCUCAGUGUUAGAUAGACAUUUAGACAUUUGUUCUGGAACUUUAAAAUGCUUUUGGAUUCCAACCAAUUUGAUUUGAUUAAUAGAAUUCUAUUUCUUAGAAAUAUCACAAAAGCUCGUCAAAUUUUCACGUUUUCUGAUUUCUCUAGAAUUUUCUUGCUUUGUGGCUGUUUCAAUCUGAAUAGGUCAAACAAUUAACAGAGAAAUAGCACACACACACACACACACACACACACACACACUGGGCAUAAUUCUAACACAACCUACUCAUUCAGAGUUUCAAGGUUUCUAAUUUUGUUUGUGACCCAAGCUUAACAUUUUUUUUUCAAUUGAAGUAUAAUUGACAUACAAUAUUCUAUUAGUUUCAGGUGUAUAUCAGAGUGAUUUGCUAUUUCUACACAUUAUAAAAGGAUCCCCGUGAUAAGUCUUAUUACCAUCUGCAACUAUACAAAGUUAUUGCGGUAUUAUUGACUCUCUUUCCUGUGCUGUAUGUUAUAUCCCCACGACCUGACUUAUUUCAUUACUGGACAUUUGUACCUCUUAAACCCCUGCACUUGUUUGACCCGCCCCCGACCCCUCCCUCCUCUGGUAACCAACAUUUUGUUUCCUGUAUCUGUGAGUCAUUUCUGUUUUGUUCUGUUUGUUCAUUUUUUAACAAUUUUUUGGUUCCACGUGUAAGUGGCCUCAUAGACUUUUUGUCUUUCUCGGACUUAUUUCACCUGGCAUAAUGCCCUGUGCAUACAUCUGUGGUGUCACAAAUGACAAGACUGCAUUCUUGUUUACGGCUGAGUAAUAUUCCGUUGCAUAUGUGUAUAUAUAUGGACACACACGAACCACAGUGUUGGUUCGGAUAAACACCCUGAAGCGGAACUGCUGGCUGGUUUUCUAAGUGACCGCUAAGGAUUUAAUAUGGCCGCUAUGAGCCUUUGGUUUUAUUAAGAGCCAGAUCCUUUGCUAAUUACAUCUUCUUCUUGUCAACAGGUUAAAAACUUCUUUGUGAACCCUUGAGGAAAGCACCGGUGAAUUGCCCCUCAGGAGAUAAACUAGCUGAAAAAUAAAGGAUCCAGCCGGCAAUGGCUGAGCCAGAAUCUAGGAGCAGAAAGAUGGCGGGCUGAAACAUUCAGAUGCUAACUCAAGGCGCCAGUCAGGUCUCUCCAGAAAGAGAGCCCCCAUCCUCUCCAACAGGCUCUCCCCUCCGGCUGCCCCAGACUUACUCUCCUCUGACCCACACUCCUCACGGCGGGUUCUUGUCACCAAAUACCACAUACCCAAUCAGAGCCUCACUUCCCCAGUCAGCUGUACCUCCUUUUGCCAUGUUAUUCUCUGCGGAACGGUUCCCACCCUCUGACAUUUCCCGCUCCUCAAUUUGUCCCCUUGCUUGUCUCUUUCCUACCCCUAGACUCAACUCCGGGAGGCAGCGUCCCUGCCUUGUUUGGAGACAGGUGCCUGGCACAUGUUCGGUAAUCGAUACACACUUAUAGAAUAUUCAAGAAUGGAUAGAAUGCUUGCCAAUAACAGCAGAGUAUGGCUUAUCUCAUGCAAGCAAGGCCUUCAUUCCAUCUACAAGUCACAAGUCACUUGUCUCUCCGAGCUUAGGGUCUUGUGAGGCAGGUUAAGAAGACACCCCUGGGAGCCCAUUGUGGUUUGGAGAAGUA
rnacentral:lncRNA from 1 species